AUUAUUUUGGCUUUUACAUCAAUUAGUUUAUUUCCUAAGAUCCAGAAUGAUUGAGAACAUAACACAAAAUGAUAUUGUUAGUAAGCAUGUUGGUCAGUUUAUGGCAUUCUUAUACCAGGACAUUAGAAUUACUUUUGAUUGCAAGACUUGCAAAGAUAACUUUGAAUCUGUGAAAAUAAGAAUUGAAGUUCUGCAUUGUAAAGUAGUAACCCACUUUAUAGCAAAUUUGAUGGCUGACAGUUCUGCUUGAAAAAUUUAGUAUAAUUCAAGGACCCUAUAACUCAAAAUGUGUGUCUUGUUUAUAUCAUUUAAUGUCAAUGCAGACAUUGACUCCAGUACUAUAAUGAGACUUUGAGCUGAUCAUAAUAAAUUAUCAUAUUAAACAAGCAUUCAUAAGGGUAUGUAUAAUCAAGUAUAAUUCUUAUGUUUCUGUUCUCAAUAUUGAGAUAAUUUUAGAAGCAUUUCAGUUUAGUUGGAUACAUACAUAUACAGUGGUACUUCACAAUUCAACAGUUGAAUUUUGCAGAAAGGUGCAUGUGCAUGCAUGGAAUUGUGUGAUGUUAUUUGUUAUUUACAUGAUUAUUUGUCAGUUCUUGU
rnacentral:lncRNA from 1 species